AAAGAAGCUGGAAAGAAGAAUGAUUAGGGCAAAGCAGUGGGCGAUUAAUUGAACGAAACCCUCUCUUUGCCUAAUGAAUACUUGUAUCCAUGCGCGCCUUUCAAUUUUUUUUUUUCUCUUUCAUGCAAUAAAUAUGAGCAAAUUGAGGUGAGAGGGGGAGAGAGAGAGGGAAGGAAAGGAAAGAGGUAUUUAUGUAAGAAGAAGAAAAAAA
rnacentral:ribozyme from 16 species